rnacentral:rRNA from 1 species
GACGAACGCUGGCGGCGUGCUUAACACAUGCAAGUCGAACGGAAAGGCCCUGCUUUUGUGGGGUGCUCGAGUGGCGAACGGGUGAGUAACACGUGAGUAACCUGCCCUUGACUUUGGGAUAACUUCAGGAAACUGGGGCUAAUACCGGAUAGGAGCUCCUGCUGCAUGGUGGGGGUUGGAAAGUUUCGGCGGUUGGGGAUGGACUCGCGGCUUAUCAGCUUGUUGGUGGGGCAGUGGCUUACCAAGGCUUUGACGGGUAGCCGGCCUGAGAGGGUGACCGGCCACAUUGGGACUGAGAUACGGCCCAGACUCUUACGGGAGGCAGCAGUGGGGAAUAUUGCACAAUGGGCGGAAGCCUGAUGCAGCAACGCCGCGUGCGGGAUGACGGCCUUCGGGUUGUAAACCGCUUUCGCCUGUGACGAAGCGUGAGUGACGGUAAUGGGUAAAGAAGCACCGGCUAACUACGUG